GUGCUAUUUGGCAGUACACAUACUGAAAUUUGGACAAUACAGAGACAGCAUGGCACCUGCACAAGGAUGAUACACAAAUUCGUAAUUUACUGUUCU
ensembl:snRNA U6 U6 spliceosomal RNA